CACGUAGGCGGAUACUUAAGUUAGGGGUGAAAUCCCAGGGCUCAACCCUGGAACUGCCUUUAAUACUGGGUAUCUCGAGUCCGGAAGAGGUGAGUGGAAUUCCGAGUGUAGAGGUGAAAUUCGUAGAUAUUCGGAGGAACACCAGUGGCGAAGGCGGCUCACUGGUCCGGUACUGACGCUGAGGUGCGAAAGCGUGGGGAGAAAC
rnacentral:rRNA from 1 species